rnacentral:piRNA from 1 species
UGGAUGUGAAAGAUGAUGCGCUUGACAGG